GAUUUCUGGUUUGGUAUGCCUGACCCGUCAUGGUUACAUGAUUGUGUGUCGGUGCGUGCCUGCCAUCCUUCUAGAUCACUAUCUCGUAUUCUUCAUUGGGUAUGUGGGUAGUCGUUCUAGAUCUUUUACUUUGAAAAAAUUAGAGUGUUUAAAGCAGGCAGUGUUUGCUAUGAAUACAUUAGCAUGGAAUAAUCAUCUAGGACUGUAUCGGUCCUAUUUUGUUGGUUUCGCGGGCUGAAGUCAUGAUUGAUAGGGAUAGUUGGGGGUGCUAGUAUUCAGUGGCCAGAGGUGAAAUUCUCGGAUUCACUGAAGACUUACUUAUGCGAAAGCAUU
rnacentral:rRNA from 1 species